rnacentral:misc_RNA from 1 species
UCUGCCUUAUCGGCAAGCGGUCCCAUUAGAGUGCCCAACUUAAUGAUGGCAACUAAUGGCAAGGGUUGCGCUCGUUGCGGGACUUAACCCAACAUCUCACGACACGAGCUGACGACAGCCAUGCAGCACCUGUCACCGCGUCCCCGAAGGGAAUUCACUACUUUCAUAGCUAUGCGCGGGAUGUCAAGCCUAGGUAAGGUUUUUCGCGUUGCGUCGAAUUAAACCACAUACUCCACCGCUUGUGCGGGCCCCCGUCAAUUUCUUUGAGUUUUAACCUUGCGGCCGUACUUCCCAGGCGGGACACUUAAUGCGUUAGCGACGACACCGAGAGGGCAAGACCUCCCGACAUCUAGUGUCCAUAGUUUACGGCGUGGACUAC